rnacentral:lncRNA from 1 species
UCUCGAAAUAGGCUCCGCUAUAUUAAUAUCGUAACCAUAUAUAUAAUGCAUCAGUUUGGACAAUGAUGGGGCAAAGAGCAUAAUAACGUACAAAAAAGACAAAAGAAAAAUAAGAGAAACAAUGCCAAACUGACGUGAAAUGUAUAGCAUUCAUCAAAACCAAAUUGAGGUGAGGUGAGGUGAGAUGAAAGAAUAGAUCGGUUCAGACCCGCCCAAACUGACGUGAGAUGUAUAGCAUUCACCAAAACCAAAUUCUAUUACUCUGCGGAUAGAAAGUACGAGAACCAUAACUGGCUGCAAAUAGAAACAUGUGGAAAUGAAAAGAGAAGAAGAUGCAAGAAGUAGAUAGAGGCAAAGGACUGGGAACAUGAUGUGGAUUCCAUGGCAAACGAAGCCAACACGUGCUCCCACUUCAGAUUCGCACGCUUCUAAUCAGGAGUAGUCAAAUAGUACAAGGGAACGUGUCAAUUCUAAUCACCUCUGAAUCACUAAUAAUCGAGAUUCGUACGUCCGCGAGAAAAAAACCGCGACGCGCAUCCCUCUCCACGCCGGCGCGGUGCGUGCGCCCGGCAGAUCGUACGUACGUACUGCUAACUACUCCGAAGCUGACCCGCCGCCGUGCGCGCGCCGGCCGGCCGGCUGGCAGGCAGGCGGCGGCGCGCGCGCGGCUCACGGGGUUUUGGCCGAGAAGGAGACGCGGCCGAAGCCCCAGCGCCCCGUCCGGUACAUCUCCUCCAGCCACGCCAGCUCCGCCUCGUGAUCGUCGACGCCUCCCGUGGUCUGCACGCCGCCCGUGGCCGUCGCCGUGGUCUGCACCUGCACGCCGCCCUCCUUCUCGCCGUCGUCGUCGGUCGCCGUCGGGGCGGCCACGUCGCGCACCCGCUUGCCGCGCAGCAGCGCCCGCCGCCUCCGCCUGGUCCUGAUCACCAGCCUGCCGACGGCGAGCGGCGCCCUGACGAGCGCCAGGCCGAGCAGGCUGACGAGCGCGCACGGGCAGCACGCCAGCGN